UAGAGAGAGAUCAGGAGAAAAAAGACAUAUAUAUAUGAGAAAGAGACAGAUGAUAAGAGAGACAAAUGGAUAGAGAGAUGAAGAGAGAGAUGGAGAGAAAAAAGAGAUACAGAAAAAGACAAAUGAAGCUACAGUUGGAAUCACUGUUAUUAUUAUGACACAGUCAUCACAUAUUUCCUUUUUCCUGGCUGGUUUUCUCUCAGAUCUCUGGACCUGCAGUCUGAUGGGUUCGUGGGCCUCUGCCCUGCUCCGUGUCUGUAAUCGAUCCUGUGCUGGAAAACUUCUAAUUCUCACCUGAUAGCAGCCUUGAAGUUCAAAUUAGACCAAAACUCUACCCGUCUGGAGUCUGAGAAACCUCCCGGCACCACAAGGAACAUCACACACAUGUAAUAACCAUCUGUGUGUCCUUCAGAUGCAGGAAAAUGAUGUGAUGAAGAACCACCAGAGACGAGUUGGGCCAAGGGGAACAUCACAGAGGGGCGCUUAAAUUUUCACCCCAAAGAGAUGAAAUUGAACGGAAAUGAUCCAGACCCCAGCUGAAACGUUCACGGCGCUGAACUGCGAUUAAACUGCGGUUAAUCGCCGAGCCGGUGAUGGAGGGAGAAUCGGACGAGGCCGAGCUUUAAUGGAGAAAUGCAUUACAACCGUAACCGGAUUAGACUGGCCGUAAUCCAAUCACUCGGACCCGUGAUCGUUUGCUUUGCGUCACCGAUCAGACACGAUUUCCUGGAGAGUUAAAACGAAGCAGCGUUUCUGCUGGACCAGAUUAAACUCUAAACACACCGAGGACCAGAGGGAGAUCCGGAGAAAUGACACGAUACACUAGCUUUCCAAAAGGGAACAACUGAAGUUGCUAUGGAGACCGUUUGCCUGUACAUAAUCCCUUUUUUUAAAAUAAUAAAUUAUUUUGACGAGUUCAGGCAAUAUUUAUAAAAUUUUAUUGAUUUAUUUAAAAUAAAUUAUUGCUUCUUGGUAAACUUUGCUGCAAUUUUCCACUGUAACUAACAACAUGAUUGAGUAUUUAGCAUACAAUUAAUUAGCAAUCACGUUAAACACAGUUAAUUAGCAUCCAUGCUAGCAAUGUGACAACAUUACAGGAAUGCUAAUAAUCGAUAUCAUUUAGUUUGGAUAUUGAUGAAUUGGUUUAUCAGGAUCACAUAACAAAAAAUCAAAAACUCAAACACGAGGUGAGGUGUGAGGUGUGAGGUGAGCUUUAAAUACCUGUGUUAAUUAAAGAACGAUGAGUGACAUGCGAUGAGGUCAUGUGACAUGCAGGGACUGAUGGUAGGCGUAGUCCUGUUUAAAAUAACAUAAACAGUCAGUUAUAAUUACACAUGAUAAUGUGAUUUUCCACAAUAAAUACUGAAGGAUUUUUCUUGGUCCUGAACCAAAGUUUUGGCACCCACACUGGACAGAAUCUAGCUGUUGGUUUUGUUUAGUAGCGACCACAUCAAAGGUAUAAUAAUAAUAAUAAUAAUAAUAAUAAUAAUAAUAAUAAUAAUAAUAUAGAAAGUUUGAACUCCGGCGUCUGUAAUCCAAUAUUCUUCAUCAUCGUCUCAUAAACAACUUUUCUUCCUCGCAGUUAUAGGAGAAUAUUACCCAUAAUGCAACACAAUUGCAUAGGUCAUUAUGCUUUUUUUUCCUCUCUGAUGGACUUUAAUUCAAAUCAAAUCAGCUCCCUUUUCAUAAAGACACAAUCCCGGUGUGACGGAGAGAAGAUCGAGCGACGGCUAAAAGUAGCAGGCUAAUUAAGAUCGACCUUUCACUAAUGCUCUGAGAAAAAAAAAGAAGGACCUCGUGAUUAGCGCUUUUAUUCCCUUUCACAUGUUCAAUGACACCCUCUUAUCCCUCAGGUUUCUCUCUUUGUAUCAGAUGGAGCAAUUAUCCGCUGUUCCAUUAGGUGGGAACGUCCCUUUAAUUCACUCUGCGCCGGAUCGUGAGCUCGAGGCCGCUGUGCAUUUUGUUCUCGUCAUGGACACAUACGAGAGAGAGAGAGAGAGAGAGAGAGAAAGAGAGAGACGAACCUGAGAAAUGAUCAGAUCACCAACAUCUGAAGUGCUCUAUCACAUCCGCCCACCUCCUCACCGAUGCCCAGAGCACUAAUGCAGUCUCUCUGCACGCAGCAGCGACGCCUUUCAGGAGAAAAUGCUCCUCUAAUGUUCUGCAGAUCUGCAUUAUUAUAAUUAGGACACGUCAGUUAGGAAUAAUAAGAGCAUCUGAUGCUCCUGUAGGACUUUCUUUUCGUAAUAAAGAGCAGGAGAAGUGUGUAGCGCUCCAUUUUGCUGAAAAUGGCUCGUUAUUAAAGGAGAUGUGUUUAAGAGCAGAAAAGAAGAAACGGGGACUUACGCUUUUCCUUUUCUCCUCCGAUGCUCAUUCACUCACAGGACACGAAAUUUAUCUAAAGGUUCAGAGGCCUUUUUUUUACACUGUACUUUUAUCAGUUUAUAAUUGAAAGCUUUUUAUAAAGUUUUUUUUGAAGCCCUGUCAUUUACAGUUCUGUAACCGAACUUGUAACAAUGGUGUAACGAAUCUUUUUAACUUUUUAAUAGGAUAAAAAAAAAACCUUUUUUACAGCCUUUUAAAUUUUAGUUUCAACUUUUGUGUGUGUUUAAUUUGUUAAAACAUUUGUAAAACAUUAUUUAAAGUUUGUUACAGUGUUAUAUGUUUUUUAGACGUUUUGGAACAUUUUAUAAAAUUCAUUGUCUUAAUAGCAGAUUCGAAGGAACUUUUC